CAAUGAGCGUCUGUAGCUCCGUCAGGUCUUUCUCCAUACGUUUGCGGUGAAUAUCCUGAGGAUAUGGUUUUGAAGGUUCCUCAGCAGCAUCUAAAUAAGAAAAGACAGCUAUGUCAGCUAUGACUGCAAUGUGAAGAUCCACAGCAUUGACGCGAGACCCAAGAGAUACAGAGAAGCCCUGAAGACACGUCUGUUAGCAGAAACUAAAAGAUAUGAUCUUUGGACCGAGCCGCACAGAAAUGACUGAACAGAUUUUUGAUAUUCGCUUCCAUUCCUGAGAAAUAUAUCUUGGAAGUUGACCGUCCCUGAGUUUGUUUGAAUUGAUUCUCAGUUGAACUUCUGAACGUCAGCAUCUGUGUGAACAUCCAUCUCCCCAGUGGCGCAACAAGAUCGGUGACAGGCGCGUGACCUGGUGAUUGUGGGUGCCGUGUAGUGCAACUUUAUAAAAUUUUGUGUAAUCUUGUCCUGUUUUGAUUCCUUUAUUAUCAAGAUCAGCAUUGUACACACCUUUAUUUAUCCUGGAUUAGAAAUAAAUGAU